rnacentral:rRNA from 1 species
UACGUAGGCAGCAAGCGUUGUUCGGAGUUACUGGGCGUAAAGGGUGCGUAGGUGGCUCUAUAAGUAUGGUGUGAAAUCUCCCGGCUUAACUGGGAGGGUGCGCCGUAGACUGUGGGGGCUUGAGUUCGGGAGAGGGAUGCGGAAUUCCAGGUGUAGCGGUGAAAUGCGUAGAUAUCUGGAGGAACACCGGUGGCGAAGGCGGCAUCCUGGACCGACACUGACGCUGAGGAGCGAAAGCCAGGGGAGCAAAGCGGG